CCGCCUCUGGGAGCCAAAGCACGUUGGGCUCGGGAGGCGGGGUGCUCGCGCGUGCAUAGCAACCGAGGCGGAUCCCAAAAUCGGGGAGGGAGUGGUGGGGGCGGGGUGGAGCGCGGCGUGGGAGUGUUUAGGGGAGGGGUUUGGGUUAGGGAGGAGGGUAGGGUGGGCGGCCCGCUGCUCGCCGCCGGCCGCGGGUCCCGGGCUCUACCUGUCCAUGGUCUCCCACCUCGCCGGCGCCGGGCUCAGCCGGUAGCGGCUCUUGCUCUAGGCUUAGUGGCGGGUCCCCGAAUAGGCGUUGAUACAGAGGAUGCGGUGCAGGGAGGAGGUCCUGGCCUUCUAAUUUCUCUAACAAGACUUUCGGUACCCUGUCCGUUAGUCAUUCAGACAACGACAGUGUCUCUAAUAGUUCUUUUCUCAUGGCCCCAACAUGGUUCUAUGAUUGUAGUCGAGACAGUCGUAUUGACUACAGACCCUUGGAUAACUUCUUCCGGAACAGGGUGACCUCUACUGAGCGGUACAAAGUUACUAAAGAUAAUGAAACAGAGGUCAUCUCGACCUGGUUUUAAGGGGUCCCAUAGUUUCGGGUCGAAUACAACUGGUCGGGUCCGUUGUCGUCGCGGAGGUCGUCCGUGGUCGUGGCUACGCAGUUGGAGCGGUUGUCGGUAGACUAAUACUUCUGAGGAUACACGCCCCAGCACCGUCUCCUUCCCCGGCACCUGCACCAUCCCCAACCCCAUCUCCUCCAAUACCGCCUAUACCUUUGUUGGUUCCACCCAUGUUGGUUCCACCCAUGUUAGUUCCACCUAUGUUAGUUCCGCCCAUGUUGGUUCUACCACCCAUGAUACUAUUAGUUCCGCCUAUGUUGGUUCUACCACCCAUGAUACUAUUAGUUCCACCCAUACCGCCACCUAUACCGAUGUUGGUUCCGGCCGUUCCUUUGAUGGUUCUUUUACCACCUAUAUUGGCUCCUGCCCCACCAUACGCACCUUCUCCGUUAACCUCAAUGGCGCCCCCUAUACUCGCACCGUCCCCACCGCCACGGGGUCCACCCUCCCCUAUACUACCACCUUCCCCUAUACUGGUUCGAGGACGACCUUCCCCGAUGCCUCCACCUUCCCCUAUACUUCCGCCUUCCCCUAUACUGGUUCGAGGGCGACCCUCCCCCCCUAUGCUCCCGCCUUCCCCCAUACCUUCCCGAGCCCCUUCUUACCGAGCACCCGCUCCCAUGACUCGUUUCGGUCUUAAAGGUACCCGAAGACCAAGAUAAAUUUACGUACGAAAUAUUAUAGUCCCCUUUCACGUGCCUGCAACAACACAUGUAUCUUUCUACUCACCACUCACUUUCAGCACACCGAGGUUAGGGUUUACACCUCCUUCACUCAAACCACGAACCAAUCCGCAACACCUCCUCAUACUACUACGAACCGACCCGUGACACCACUUAACAACACCGUCAUUAACAAGAGAAAUAGAUUCUACUCGC
rnacentral:rRNA from 1 species